AUACGUAGGUGGCAAGCGUUGUCCGGAUUUACUGGGUGUAAAGGGCGUGUAGGCGGAGAUGCAAGUCAGGAGUGAAAUCUAGGGGCUCAACCCCUAAACUGCUUUUGAAACUGUAUCCCUUGAGUAUCGGAGAGGCAGGCGGAAUUCCUAGUGUAGCGGUGAAAUGCGUAGAGAUUGGGAGGAACACCAGUGGCGAAGGCGACUUACUGGGCCGUAACUGACGCUGAGGCGCGAAAGCGUGGGGAGCGAACAGGAUUAGAUACCCUGGUAGUCCACGCGGUAAACGAUGAAUGCUAGGUGUUGCGGGUAUCGACCCCUGCAGUGCCGGAGUAAACACAAUAAGCAUUCCGCCUGGGGAGUACGGCCGCAAGGUUGAAACUCAAAUGAAUUGACGGGG
rnacentral:rRNA from 1 species